UGGGGAAUUUUGGACAAUGGGGGAAACCCUGAUCCAGCCAUCCCGCGUGUGCGAUGAAGGCCUUCGGGUUGUAAAGCACUUUUGGCAGGAAAGAAACGUCGCGGGUUAAUACCCCGCGAAACUGACGGUACCUGCAGAAUAAGCACCGGCUAACUACGUGCCAGCAGCCGCGGUAAUACGUAGGGUGCAAGCGUUAAUCGGAAUUACUGGGCGUAAAGCGUGCGCAGGCGGUUCGGAAAGAAAGAUGUGAAAUCCCAGAGCUUAACUUUGGAACUGCAUUUUUUAACUACCGGGCUAGAGUGUGUCAGAGGGAGGUGGAAUUCCGCGUGUAGCAGUGAAAUGCGUAGAUAUGCGGAGGAACACCGGAUGGCGAAGGCAGCCUCCUGGGAUAACACUGACGCUCAUGCACGAAAAGCGUGGGGAGCAAACAGGAUUAGAUNCCCUGGUAGUCCACGCCCUAAACGAUGUCAACUAGCUAGUUGGGGACCUUGCGGCCUUGGUAGCCUCAGGCUAACGCGUGAAGUUG
rnacentral:rRNA from 1 species